UCCAAAUAUGCCUUCCCCAGGGGCAAACCAUAUCAGCAACCAAACUCGUUGCAACCAUUUCGAAACCAAUCGAGCAGACGAUCCGCCUCCAAUAGCUUCAAAAAGCACUCAUCACAAUGCAAUCCGCAGAGAAUUUCAACACCUCACUCCAUUCUAGUCGCCAACAUAAACAAACCAGAAAGCAAUCCACAUGGACCGAACGUGCACCUCACAUCCGCGCCCCAACUGCAAAGACGCACUGGUGAUCCACCCUCACUCGCAUGACCCCACGCGGACAAAACCACUGCUGCGCAUCUCAUUGGCUCACGACCUCCAAAUCUUUCUGCCCUGUCACGUUCCUCACUAGCAGCAAAGCUAAGCCUUCAGGGCUCCUCAAUUCGAGUUUAGCUCAAGCCUGGACAUGCUGUGCAAUGCAAUGGCGCGGGCUCCUUGUUGGUUUGCAGCAUUCUAGUCUUUCCGUGUGGCUUCGAAGCACUCUGGAUGGAUGCAGGUAGCUCCUUGCCUGAGCAGCACCUUCAAUUCCGCGUCUAGUUUGCACGCUGCGUGGCAGCACAUGUUCCUGUGGCGAGUCCUAUUUCGGACAAACCGUAACUGCUUGUGGCGGUCGGUUGUGUUCGGGAUUUGGGUUGCGAUACUUGGUGUUCCCCGCGCAACAUGGGUCUUCUGCGGAUAUGACCACGCUGCCGGCGAUUGCACGAAGCGCUGCCUUGUUCCGAUUUUAGGUUUCUGUAGGCUCGCUCUGUGAUUGGAGCGGAUUCCUGUUGCAGCUGAAAGUGCUGUCGCCUCCUGAAGCGCUUUGGAUUUCGGAAACCGCAACGACUGGGCGCAAACACGCGAGUGCGAGAGCCACACGGGCUGUUGCGGCGGUUUCUUCCAGCGAUGAGAAUCGGACUGGCGGGCCAAUUUUGCACCGCCUGGAGGGAAAUGCCGUCUGGGCGCUGUUCGAGGAGCGCGCUGCUGUGAAGCUUUCCGGACUCGUUGCGUGUUCGAGGUCGGGAGCGUACCCCUGUCAUGGCAAUUUCGGCACUCUCCCCUCACACGCUCGGCCGUUGUGCCCCGGGUGCUGGGGCACCGCAAUGCAGCGCCAGGAGGGAGCCGCGCAAUGCAUGCAGCAGUCCAUGGGCGGAGUUCGAACGCAAGGAUACUUUUCAAUUUGUAGGAGCUCGAAAUUGCAACGACAGACAGUGGAGGGCGGCAAGCCGAGAUUGCAGGGUGAAGAACUGGAGACACGGGCAAUGUCGGUGUUCCGGACAACAAUUUCUGCCGGAUGAAACCAAACCAUCUAUCUCGCGACGCCCUUCCGCGACCACCCCGCGGUCUCUCCUCUCUCCAGCCAAGACGUACUUGGAGGCCGAGCUGACCUCCGAGGACAAGUUCUGGGUGAUCGCGGCCUCCACCCCCGAGGAGCUCCUGGCGGCUGCCACACUUCGAGCGCAGAUAUUCUAUUCGUACCCCCAAGUGGACAUGACAUUGGCUGGCAUCGAAGCCGUCGGGGCGCGCGUGGCAAACGACUUGAUCAUCGACGACCUGCUGAGAACGAGGCGGAAAUCGGAAUUCACCAGGGAGAGCAAGUUCGAAGCGCUGGGCAUGCGUGUGAAGUGUCUGUUAGCUGUGUGCCGGCAAUCUAGCGUAGAAUCGAUAGGCGGGGGCGUUGCUACGUCGUGCCUCCUCGCUCCGCCGCCUGUACCUUCGAUCGACAGCAGCUCCACGGGAGCACUGGUUGCAAUCGGCACCCUUGACGUACAGGAACCAAGGCCACUGCAGAUGUCAACCUUGUCACCUUCCAGCUCCAUGCUGUGGCACAUAGAGCCCAGCAACGGAAGAAUCGGGUGGGUGUCAAAGCUAGCAAUCUCAUGGCUUGCAACACCAAGUUUGCUUCCAAAGCCAGAGUAUACUCUGCGUCCUUUUCGGGCAGUCGUGAUUCAGAUAGAGAGCCUCCAUGAUUUGCAGUGUCCGCGGUUGACGCACCUCGUCGCUGCGCGAUUGUUGUAGUCGGUAAGCUUGCAUUAGGCAGUCGGGGAUUGUGUGUUUUUGGUUCUUCGGAGGGUCGGAUUUGCGAAGGCAGUGGGCGUUUGAGGGAGUGGCAGGCAAUCUGCAGUGCAGCUUCCUCCGUCCGAUGUGCACCGCCGGCACAAAUCACCCAGCCGGACUUUCUGGUAAUUGUGGUGAGGGGUAUCAGUGCGAAGUACUCGGGUGGAUUGUGGAGCUGAAUAGGAACGGCUUGUUUUGACAGAGGAUGCGCGGCUGUGGGUGUUGGCGCAGGUCCAGAAGGGCAGGAAUAGCGGAACGGAUUAUUUCCCGGUGGAACAUGAGGACACGUUCGACCAAGCGUACAUUUUCAACCUUGGUGUCAUUGCGGCGGCCAGAAGGAUGGGGGUUGGAAAGGCUCUCAUGGUGGCAGCUCUCAAGGUAGCCAAGCAAAUGGAGCUUCAAGUGCUAUUCGUGCAUGUGGAGGAGGAUAACAGCGGCGCCUUGGCGUUGUACAAGAGCCUAGGGUAUGGAGUGGUGGAGGAGGAGGAGGAAGCUGUAGAGGUGCAAGGUCUGCUGAGCAGGCCCCGCCGAAUGCUGUUGAGCUUUUGGCUGUUGUGACAGAUCACUGGGUGGUGGACUACUAUUCCACAACUCUCCACCCCCGGUAAUAAAAUGCUCACGCUGUUCGUCGCGA